rnacentral:rRNA from 1 species
UACGUAGGGGGCAAGCGUUGUCCGGAAUCAUUGGGCGUAAAGAGCGUGUAGGCGGCCCGAUAAGUCCGCUGUGAAAGUCCAGGGCUCAACCCUGGAAUGCCGGUGGAUACUGUCGGGCUCGAAUCCGGAAGAGGUGAGUGGAAUUCCUGGUGUAGCGGUGAAAUGCGCAGAGUAUCAGGAGGAACACCAAUGGCGAAGGCAGCUCACUGGGACGGUAUGACGCUGAGACGACGAAGCGUGGGGAGCAAACAGG